GAUCAGCCACACUGGAACUGAGACACGGUCCAGACUCCUACGGGAGGCAGCAGUGGGGAAUUUUGGACAAUGGGCGCAAGCCUGAUCCAGCCAUGCCGCGUGAGUGAAGAAGGCCUUCGGGUUGUAAAGCUCUUUCGGCAGGAACGAAAUGGUUCGUGCUAAUACCACGGACUGAUGACGGUACCUGAAGAAGAAGCACCGGCUAACUACGUGCCAGCAGCCGCGGUAAUACGUAGGGUGCAGGCGUUAAUCGGAAUUACUGGGCGUAAAGCGUGCGCAGGCGGUUUCUUAAGUCAGAUGUGAAAUCCCCGGGCUUAACCUGGGAACUGCGUUUGAAACUGGGAGACUUGAGUGUGGCAGAGGGGGGUGGAAUUCCACGUGUAGCAGUGAAAUGCGUAGAUAUGUGGAGGAACACCAAUGGCGAAGGCAGCCCCCUGGGUCAACACUGACGCUCAUGCACGAAAGCGUGGGGAGCAAACAGGAUUAGAUACCCUGGUAGUCCACGCCCUAAACGAUGUCAACUGGUUGUUGGGGGAUUAACUCCCUUAGUAACGAAGCUAACGCGUGAAGUUGACCGCCUGGGGAGUACGGCCGCAAGGUUAAAACUCAAAGGAAUUGACGGGGACCCGCACAAGCGGUGGAUUAUGUGGAUUAAUUCGAUGCAACGCGAAAAACCCUACCUACCCUUGACAUGCCAGGAACCCUUCAGAGAUGGAGGGGUGCCCGAAAGGGAACCUGGACACAGGUGCUGCAUGGCUGUCGUCAGCUCGUGUCGUGAGAUGUUGGGUUAAGUCCCGCAACGAGCGCAACCCUUGUCAUUAGUUGCUACAUUUAGUUGGGCACUCUAAUGAGACUGCCGGUGACAAACCGGAGGAAGGUGGGGAUGACGUCAAGUCCUCAUGGCCCUUAUGGGUAGGGCCUCACACGUAAUACAAUGGCCGGUACAGAGGGUUGCCAACCCGCGAGGGGGAGCCAAUCCCAGAAAGCCGGUCGUAGUCCGGAUUGUUCUCUGCAACUCGAGAGCAUGAAGUUGGAAUCGCUAGUAAUCGCGGAUCAGCAUGUCGCGGUGAAUACGUUCCCGGGUCUUGUACACACCGCCCGUCACACCAUGGGAGUGGGUUUCACCAGAAGUAGGUAGCCUAACCGCAAGGAGGGCGCUUACCACGGUGAGAUUCAUGACUGGGGUGAAGUCGUAACAAGGUA
rnacentral:rRNA from 1 species